rnacentral:rRNA from 1 species
AGGGUUCGAUUCUGGCUCAGGAUGAACGCUGGCGGCGUGCUUAACACAUGCAAGUCGAACGGGAUCCCAGGAGCUUGCUCCUGGGUGAGAGUGGCGAACGGGUGAGUAAUGCGUGACCGACCUGCCCCAUACACCGGAAUAGCUCCUGGAAACGGGUGGUAAUGCCGGAUGCUCCGACAUGACGCAUGUCGUGUCGGGAAAGAUUCUAUCGGUAUGGGAUGGGGUCGCGUCCUAUCAGCUUGAUGGCGGGGUAACGGCCCACCAUGGCUUCGACGGGUAGCCGGCCUGAGAGGGCGACCGGCCACAUUGGGACUGAGAUACGGCCCAGACUCCUACGGGAGGCAGCAGUGGGGAAUAUUGCACAAUGGGCGCAAGCCUGAUGCAGCGACGCCGCGUGCGGGAUGACGGCCUUCGGGUUGUAAACCGCUUUUGACUGGGAGCAAGCCCUUCGGGGUGAGUGUACCUUUCGAAUAAGCACCGGCUAACUACGUGCCAGCAGCCGCGGUAAUACGUAGGGUGCAAGCGUUAUCCGGAAUUAUUGGGCGUAAAGGGCUCGUAGGCGGUUCGUCGCGUCCGGUGUGAAAGUCCAUCGCUUAACGGUGGAUCCGCGCCGGGUACGGGCGGGCUUGAGUGCGGUAGGGGAGACUGGAAUUCCCGGUGUAACGGUGGAAUGUGUAGAUAUCGGGAAGAACACCAAUGGCGAAGGCAGGUCUCUGGGCCGUCACUGACGCUGAGGAGCGAAAGCGUGGGGAGCGAACAGGAUUAGAUACCCUGGUAGUCCACGCCGUAAACGGUGGAUGCUGGAUGUGGGGACCAUUCCACGGUCUCCGUGUCGGAGCCAACGCGUUAAGCAUCCCGCCUGGGGAGUACGGCCGCAAGGCUAAAACUCAAAGAAAUUGACGGGGGCCCGCACAAGCGGCGGAGCAUGCGGAUUAAUUCGAUGCAACGCGAAGAACCUUACCUGGGCUUGACAUGUUCCCGACAGCCGUAGAGAUACGGUUUCCCUUCGGGGCGGGUUCACAGGUGGUGCAUGGUCGUCGUCAGCUCGUGUCGUGAGAUGUUGGGUUAAGUCCCGCAACGAGCGCAACCCU